rnacentral:tRNA from 1 species
GAGGGUAUAGCUUGGUGGAAGAGUGCAUGCCUAGCAUGCAUGAGGUCCUGGGUUCCAUUCCCAGUACGUCCA